CCUACGGGAGGCAGCAGUGAGGAAUAUUGGUCAAUGGACGAGAGUCUGAACCAGCCACGUAGCGUGAAGGAUGACUGCCCUAUGGGUUGUAAACUUCUUUUAUAAAGGAAUAAAACGAGGCACGUGUGCCUUUUUGCAUGUACUUUAUGAAUAAGGCUCGGCUAACUCCGUGCCAGCAGCCGCGGUAAUACGGAGGGGCUGAGCGUUAUCCGGAUUUAUUGGGUUUAAAGGGAGCGUAGAUGGGUUGUUAAGUCAGUUGUGAAAGUUUGCGGCUCAACCGUAAAAUUGCAAUUGAUACUGGCAGUCUGGAGUGCAGUUGAGGUAAGCGGAAUUCGUGGUGUAGCGGUGAAAUGCUUAGAUAUCACGAAGAACCCCGAUUGCGAAGGCAGCUUACUAAACUGUGACUGACAUUGAUGCUCGAAAGUGUGGGUAUCAAACAGGAUUAGAUACCCCUGUAGUC
rnacentral:rRNA from 1 species